UGCUGUGAGCUCGAUGAGUAGGGCGGGACACGUGGUAUCCUGUCUGAAUAUGGGGGGACCAUCCUCCAAGGCUAAAUACUCCUGACUGACCGAUAGUGAACCAGUACCGUGAGGGAAAGGCGAAAAGAACCCCGGCGAGGGGAGUGAAAAAGAACCUGAAACCGUGUACGUACAAGCAGUGGGAGCCCCACCACUAAGCCAGUGGUGAACUCCACAUACGCAUCCUUUGCUGAGGAUACGGUUAACGGAGCGAAAGCGACGUUCAACCUCAAAAGAAGCAGAGGGGGCUUAGUGGUGG
rnacentral:rRNA from 1 species